CCUAGUAACGGCGAGUGAAGCGGGAAAAGCUCAAAUUUGUAAUCUGGCAAUCUUUGGUUGUCCGAGUUGUAAUCUAGAGAAGUGCUUUCUGUGCUGGACCGUGUAUAAGUCUCUUGGAACAGAGCGUCAUAGAGGGUGAGAAUCCCGUCUUUGACACGGACUACCAGUGCUAUAUGAUGUGCUCUCAAAGAGUCGAGUUGUUUGGGAAUGCAGCUCAAAAUGGGUGGUAAAUUCCAUCUAAAGCUAAAUACAGGCGAGAGACCGAUAGCGAACAAGUACCGUGAGGGAAAGAUGAAAAGCACUUUGGAAAGAGAGUAAAACAGUACGUGAAAUUGUUGAAAGGGAAACGCUUGAAGUCAGUCAUGUCCAUUGGGAUUCAGCCAUGCUUUUGCUUGGUGCAUUUCCCUGUUGACAGGCCAACAUCAAUUUUGAUCAACAGACAAAGGCCAGGGAAAUGUGGCAGUUUCGGCUGUGUUAUAGUCCUUGGUUGUAUGUGUUGAUUGGGAUUGAGGAAUCCGGACAUGCAAGUGUUGUGGGAUGUUGGCAUAAUGGCUUUAAGCGACCCGUCUUGAAACACGGACCAAGGAGUGUAACAUGCUCGCGAGUGUUUGGGUGGAAAACCCGAGCGCGUAAUGAAAGUGAAAGUUGAGAUCUCUUUGGAGAGCAUCGACGCCCGAGCCUGAUGUUUUCGGACGGCCUCGCGGUAGAGCGAGUAUGUUGCGACCCGAAAGAUGGUGAACUAUUCCUGAGGAGGGCGAAGCCAGAGGAAACUCUGGUGGAGGCUCGUAGCGUUUCUGACGUGCAAAUCGAUCGCAGGACUUGG
rnacentral:rRNA from 1 species